rnacentral:lncRNA from 1 species
AGCCCCGGAUUUAGGGUUUUCCUCGCACAGACCAGACUCGCCGAGUCCACUUGGCCGACUCGUCGAGUUGGUCACUUUCUUAUCGACCCGGAUCCCGCUCCGACUCGCCGAGUCCUUCCUUUGACUCGUCGAGUCCCUCUUAAAUUUAGGGUUUCCUUUACUUUCUUGGCUUUCAAAAUCUUGGGUGUUACAACUCUCCCCCACUUAAACUGAACUUCGUCCUCGAAGUUUGCUAUGGUCAGCUACCUGCGAACUGCCUCCAACUCUUUGUCUGGAAAAUCCCUCACCCUUUUGCCCACCACUCCGGCCACUCACAGUGCCGAUCACUACCGCUAGAACAUCCUAAAUCCUUCUCUUUCCCAUAAUCUCCUCAACGUUACUUCCUCCGACUGAAAAUCCUGCUGCCUCCCAUCCGCCUACCGGAUGUACUGAGACUACUCAGGUCUAACCAAUCUCCCUAUAUCUGAGUUACCGGACUCCCACCGGUCACUACACUCCAUCGCAAACUCCUAGUCUCUUCCAGCGACUCCUAAAGAUACUUCGAUCAUCUAUAACUGUUCUAUCCAUCCUGCCGCUCAUACCGAAACGAUGCUGCUGGAACUAGUUUGCUUUUAUCCCUCCUGAUUACUCAUCUCCUACUUACUCGAGCUUUUCCUCCUGAAUGAAAAGCUACCUGCCUAGCCAUCCCUACAAAUCACUUAUACUCGGCAAAAGGCUCAACUGAUCCUGCUGAGAGGGACUUGCCAAUUCCAAAUCAACCAACUAUACCGUCAGCACUUGCAUUCCAACGCAAAAACAAUACUGACCCAGAACCCUGAAACCUUCCAAACACUGAACUGCCUGCAAUACUGAACAUGCCUGAAACACUAAACUGCCCGAAACGCUGAACCGACUGAGACGCUGAACGGCCUGAAACACUAAACUGACUGAAACACUGAGCUGCCUGAAACACUGAACUGACUGAAACACUGAGCUGCCUGAAACACUGAACUCCAACCCAACUGUGGAGUCAAGGGACUCCUCACUUAGUCUCUUCCACGACUUCUGAACGAAAUCUUCCUCUAGGACUAGUUUCCACUAGCUAUUCUGUCACUGUGGCUCUCGCAACCUUCCGAUCCAACCGAUCGGAUCCAUACGUCACAUCCUGACAUCAUCAAUUCCACAACUAACAACAUAUUGGCUCCCAGACUGACUGUAGCCCACAACAUACCCGAACCCCAACGGUCCACUGCGACUCUGAUCUCAUAACUGAUGUGACGAUCCAAAGCCCAAAUUGCUAACUUAGCCGUAACUGAUCCCUUUGGGAAAUCCGAAAGCUAACCCGUGGAUUCCCAUAUCCUCACUGCUACACCCGAUCUGGUGGGUACAACUGCUUUCCCGCAUCUAACACGCGCUCAUGCUACCUACCAAUCUGAUAAAAGGCUGCGACUACGCUUGCGGACUUACAACUCUCUAAUACUAUCUGGCUGCUAGUGGAUGCUACGGCUACCC